CUCGUACUCCCUCCGUCCGGAAAUAAUUGUCUUAAAAAUAUAUAUAAUGAAUGUAUCUUUAACUAAAAUAAAUCUAGAUACAUUCAUUUCUAAAACAAGUAUUUCCGAAUGAAGGGGGUACAUA
rfam:Hordeum vulgare subsp. vulgare, WGS project CAJW01000000 data, contig: morex_contig_158829